UGUUCUCACUAACUGUAAGUUGCUCUGGAUAAGAGUGUCUGCUAAAUGACUCAAA
rfam:Salmo salar isolate Sally breed double haploid chromosome ssa01, whole genome shotgun sequence.